CUUGUACCCUCUUUCUCUCUCUCUCUCUCAAAAACAAAAACAAAAAAAUAGACCCUAAAACACCACACCUCAGGCUUGCUCUCCUAGGAUGAUGGCCGCUUCCAUUCUGGGCUAGGCCCAGGGCAGGCCUUAUGGUUGUGUGACCCGCACAGUCACACACGGCCCCAUGUUCAGAAGUGUCUCAUGUUUGUUUAAUGAUCUUCUACCCACCAUCUUGAAAUUAAUAACAGUUUUUGAAUAAGGCAUCCCACAUUUUUAUUUUUACUGGGUCCCCCAAAUUAUAGAGCCUGUCCUUGCUAGGCUGGAGUACCUCCUGAUAUCUGAAAAGGCCAAUGGGAGAGAGAGGGAGAGAUGUGUCCUUUUUGUACUCAGCUUUCCUCCCCCUUCUCCCAGCCAUAGGGUCCUGCUCCUUUUUGAAACAGUACCUUUCACUCAUGCCUUCUGACUCAAACAUGGUGACCAGAGCUAUGUUGGCUGCCUUUCCAGGGAAGAUGAAUCCUGAGAGCUACUGCCCCUUCCUUCUUGCUAACAGAACUCUGAUUUAGUUUUGUGCAGCAAUAUGCCAAGCCGCAGGAGAUGAAGCCCUGGUGUAAGCCAAUCACUGCUCUUCUCGUCACUUAUGCCAGCUACUCACUUUCCCAGCCUUCCUUGUGGCUAGAGGUGGCCAUGUGACUCAGUUCCAACCAAAGGAUUGUAAAGGGAAAGGUGAUGGGAGGCUUCCUUAAUAAAAAGGAGCACCCCCUAUUUCUGCUAUUUAUCUUUCUUUCUGCUUGCAAUAUUGGGGAAAGAAUACACUUGGAGCUGCAGCAGCCAUUUUGUGAUGGAAUGGCCAAAGAAUCAGAGAUGUAGACUGUGACUUGGUCGACCAACCACAAACCACUCAUCUCCAGAAUACUUGUUACAUGAGGCAAUGAAAUAGCUUCAUUAUUAAGCCAUUCUUAGUCAUGAUCUCUUAUCUGCAGCUGAAAACAUCCAGCUAGGAGGGCAAUGAGACGGUGAGGAAGAGAGAGAAAACAGAAACAGGUGCAUCAUGGUCCCGACACCCUGACUGCACACACCCUUUGUUCCCGUUGCCCAGAUCCCUGUUACUGUCGUGUUCCUGUCCUUCCUGGCCUGGUCUUCAGCUUUUCCUUAAUUACAUGGACUACCUUGUGCAUUUUGAAUAAAUUCCCCUCAGCCUUAAGUCAGCCAGAGCUAGAUCCCAUUGCUCACAAUGAAAGAAACCUCCCCGAUGCAGACAAAAAUACUUUGGGGAGUUGUCUGGAUGUUAAAAAUUCAAGAUCUAGGCCACCCACCCUGGGUGUGAUUCUUUGGUCCAGUACAGGCCCUUGUGGUUUCUAAAUUCAAGCACCAGGAAGAGACCUUCAGAGGAGGGAACGGAGGAGAGAGGAGACUGUUUUGACCAAGAUCAAAUUCAAAUGCUUCUCUGUGGAUGGGAGACCCACUGGGAGGCAGUGAUUUACCCCACAAGGAGAACUUGGGUAUUAAGAUCCAUUUCCCACAGGUUCCUCCCAGCUCUCCUGUCCUGCAGAAGGAAGCAGCAGCAGCGAUCCUUGAGACAAUCCCUCCUCGUUAACAACACUUCAGACUGGUCUGCCUCUGCCUGCUGUGUUUUGUGAGUAAGACUAAGAACACAGUUGAUUGUGGUCCCCCUUGUUGGAAGAGCCUUCUCCUUCAAUUAGUUUUGUCCACUGUGCUGCUGUGAGGUGAUCAGGCCGGGAAUUAGUAAACCCAAAUUAGAGAUGAGGACAUCCAAACGUGCUCAGGCAAAGGGAUUUAUCCUCAGGGAAUCCGCAGCCCUGGGCUGGAGGCAGAAACAGUGAAAAGGCCCCAGAGGCCACUAUCCCGCCUCUGCGACAGACGUUCAGUGCCACCUCAGCUGGGUAACUUUCAUUCAUUAAAUGAGUAUUUCUAAAAAUUCUUUCUAUGUGUUGAGCACUGUCCUAUCAUUUUCUGAGCUUUAGGAGUUCUAUCUCCAAGCUGGAAGAGAGAAAACAAUCCCUCAGGGUGGCCGUGAGAGGAUUCAGUGGAUGUUUGCUGAGCUCACUGUACCCAUAUUGCCUUGGUUUGCUCGGGCCGCCAUGACAAAGCACAGACUGACUGGCUUAAAUGACAGAAAUUUAUUUUCUCAUAGUUCUGGAGGCAGGAAUACCCAAGAUCGCAGGUUUGGUUUCUGGUGACAGCUGCCUUCCUGGCUUGCAGAUGGCCGCUCUCGCACUGUCCUUGCAAAGCCUUUCUUCUGUGCGCAUGGAGAGAGAGCUUGAGUCCUCUGCUAUCUCUACUUAUAAGGGCACCACCCCUAUUGGCUCAAGGCCCCACCCUUAUGACCUCAUUAGCCUUAAUUAUUUCCUCAGAGGUCUCAUCUCCAAACACAGCCACACUGGGGGGGUUAGGCCUUUACAUGGAUUGGUGGGGGGACACCUUCGGUCCAUAACACAAAAGAGUUCUACACCAUUGGUUCCUCAAAAGUACAUUUCCUCCCAAGGAAAAGAGUUAAUCGGGACAAGCGGUAACUUAAAAAAGGAACAAGUGGACCCAUGGCACACAGCUCCCAUGUAAACUCAUUGCCAGAGAAGGAGCCCGGGAACGAAUGUAAUUCAGAGAGAGACAUGGUCAGAUUCAAUUCGCAAAAGGAGCAUUCUGGCAUCUGCAGGGUACCGUUCAUUCAUUCAUUCAUUCACUCAUUCAUACAUCUACAAAGCAGCUAUUGAAUACUUGCCUUUUGGUUUUUGUUUUUUUAAUUUUAUUUUGAGAGAGAGUUGGUGGUGGGUGGUGGAGAAUUCUAAGCAGGUUCCACGCCAAGCGUGCAGCCUGACUUGGGGCAUGAUCCCAUGACCCUGGGAUCGUGACCUGAGCUGAAAUCAAGAGCUGGAUGCUUAAUUAAGCCAACCAGGCACCCCUGGAUACUUACCUUUUGUUUUGCACAAUGCUAGGCACUGGGAAUUUAAAAAAAAUUAGACAAGGGUUCUAUGAAUUCAUAUUCUCUUAAGAAAUACAGAAAUGGAAAAAAAAUCACACCCUAAAUCAAAGAUGCUAUAAAAGAGGUGAUUAUAGUAUGCUUUGGUCACUUGGAGGAAUGUGCAAGCAGCUGCUUGAGGAGCUGAAAGGGAAGAUUUGGGGGAGAUAAUGUUAGAGGCUGAAGGACACAAGGGCUUGUAGGCUGAGAAAUGGGAGGCAGGGAAGAGAGCAUGGGGGAAGGUGGCUUGCUGGGGAACUGCAGGCUGUGUCUGAGCCCAAAGGGCGGGGGCAAAGCUGUGGCUGGCAAUCCUGGAAGCAGGGAACAGACUCUGAAGCCCUCAUCCAAGGUGAUUCGGGUUGCAACCAAUAUCUUUAGAGGCUUGUUACAGGUCUCGUGCUUGAUUUACUUACGAAGCAUUGAUGAAAUUAAUUUUUAAUUAAAUGCACAUAUUACUUGGAUGACACCUUUGAAAUAUUUUUAAAAUGCAAUUUAAUGGCAUUCCAAAUUAAAGAACAGAAAAUCCUCCCAUAGAGCGCUUCCCCCAUAAAAGGAUAAAAGGAUGGAGAACCCCUGUUCCCCACCUCCCCCAGCACUGCCUGAUAAGAAUUAGGGAGAAACAGACCUCCCCUGGCCCCCUUUGUCAUCUCCUUCCUCUUCUGGAACAUGCUACUGAUGUUUUCCUCUUAGCUGUCCAAAUCUGCUUCCACCAGAACUUUUCUCUUCUGGCUACCACCACUGAUGACUGAAGACAUUAUUUCUCUCUCCUGGACCCACCACGACCAAGACCAGCCGGAAGUGGCCCACCUUGUGGGUUGCAGGACCUUUUCUUGUAGCUGGAGGGGCAGGACUUUUGGGGCCACUGACGGGGGCUGCUCUGGGUAGGCUCUGAGCUGCCACUUUCCCCUGGAGGGGCUUGUCUUUUUAAGAAUCUCCAAGUCCAGAGCCAUCCUGUGUUCCCUUGGUCCUACUCAAGCACUAAUUAUAUUUGUU